rnacentral:lncRNA from 1 species
CCCUGGGCGUCACGCCGCGCUCUCCGGCGCCUUUUUCCUGGAGUGUCCACCUCCAGACCCGUCUCGGCCUCACUUCGUGCGGCUCCCCGAAGCCCAGGAGCGUGCAGUCCAGGUGCAAAGAAAACGCUACGGGCAGGGAGGAAAACCGGGGUCCUGCCGGCUCCAACAACCCGCCCCCUUCUCCCGCCACCUCAACGCCUGGUCCGCUCUGUCCAACCGGUCAGCCGCUCUGCGAUUGCACCAUUUUCUUCGCGGCCCGCCCGGGUGCAGAGACGCCGGCUGCCUGGGCAGCAGCACGCAGCGAAUCCGGUACCAGCCUCGGCGUCGGAUGAUCAGGCUCCUGGCACGCGACGGUCGCCGAGAUUGUCAAGCAUGCGGCAAUUACAGGUACAUGCAACAUGUCAAGAUAUAGGUAUCCUUACAAGAGGGAAGCAAUGGGAUAUCUAACAAAAUAGAGAGGAGCAAUAAGAAGAACCAGGGCAAUAUUUGAAGAUGCUGGCUUUCGAGUGAUGUGGCCACAGGCCAGUGAGUGGUUGCAGCCACCAGAAGUUGGAAGAGUCAAAGAACUGAUCCUCCUCUGGAGUCUCUGGAGGGAGUACAACCCUGUCCACAUCUUGAUUGUAAUACAGUGACAAUGAAUGUGAAUAUAUGACCUCCAGAAUGUACCAAAUUUAUGGCACUUUGUUACAGUAACCUCCAGAAAUUAAUAUGGACUCUAUGAAUUUGACUUAUUGAGAAUCAUAAUAAAUGUUCUUAAACAGCCACCUGCCAC